ensembl:lncRNA
GAGGGACAGUUAGAGUCCAUUAUAUCUUUGAUGUUUAAUUUUCUUUUACUUCUCCACCCAUCUCGUUGCUGCUAAAAGGACCAUUUCUUAUAUAGCGCCGGCGCAAAAAGAAGAAAGAAAAAUUCUUACCUGCUUGUCUCGUUUGUCUAAGUUUGACGUCUUUUCCACGUAAUUGAACUUGAUGAAUGUUGGCGUUUGUUUAUCUCUCUAACGCGCACUGUCCUUUCAACACCCCUCCGGAUGACAUAUCUGGGCCGGUUCGGUUAUUUUCAGAACAAUACAGCACCUGUCUAUCUCCAGGGUUUUUGUGAUUAGAGCUUGGAUUGUCAAUUACAACAAGUCAAACCGCAACUCUCGGUUUUCUUUGUCCGGAAAAAGAGUGCUAGUUUUACCAGCUAGCCAGGCUAUGCUAGUCGAUGGAAAAUAGUAAGCACAUUUAUAUGGUUUUGGAAUGACCUGUUCAGGAGAAAAAAAUGCAGUUUCAGUUCCUUUGGAUGACAAUUGAAGGAAACUGAGCAUGUUUGACCACGAUAAAAAGGCAUGUUUUAAAAAUGUUAAAAUACAAGCUGUCGUCAAACCAUCCAUGCAUCCCACGUUUCUUCCAACUGUUAGGCCUAAGUGAGAUCGCUUAGGUUAUGUACAUCGCUACUGAGACAUCGUGUUCUUGGACAACUGGUAUGAUCUACCCAGGCAGAUGCGAGGAUGCGCACCACCAGGUCCAUUCCAUGCACACAUGCAUCAUCUUGGCAUUCUGGCUGGCAGGAAUUGAUCCUGAACGACAACCAACAAGGGGCGACAUAAGAGACGGCACACAGGGAGAGCUGAGGAAAAACGCAGUCCGGAUGUUAUUUUAAAAACACAGGGGAUGACCAACGUCCUCUUGACGAAGAAAGACUGAGGAUGAAGGUGUCGAGCGAACACAACCCAAGCCACUCAAUGACAACAUACCUGGAUGAUGAAUCUAACCUUCUGCAGGCUCUUUCUGAAGACGUCUCUUUGUCCAUGUAGUGCAAGGGCAUAACUCGGCAAGAAGUAUUCAUACGCUCCUGUAUCUGAAGGGUUUAGUUUUUUGUGGAUAUCAACCCCUCACUGUCUCUGUAUGGCUGGGCAAUGAAUUAAUGCCACUGCUCUCUGUUGAUGAUCCACUGCAUCAGGGCUUCUUCGUGACUCUGAGAAGAAGGUACUCAAAGACACUGAGUGGAUCGGUGUAUGUGGUUGCCUUGGUCACAGCUCGCACUUCGGACCUGUUCGACAAUCAAGCCGACUGCCUUAGAUCGGAUUCGGACAAUUCAACGCGAUUCGAUCAUCGAUUGACAGCUUCUCCCACGUCCACCUUGACCACCAUAACCGAUGGCAGCCAUUUUAUCCAACUUGAUUCCAAACUCCUGUCGCAAAGGGAUCCGACGCAGACAAAGGAGCAGAAACGUACGCACGCGCAAGGUCGAUAAUAAGGCUGUUCCUUCGGUCGGAGGGCCGCAGCUGGCUGAUGGACAGAACUCGCAGAUGUCACACCAGUUUCCAUACCGACCUCGAGGCCAGCGCUCUCUUCCGCUGCCAAGGAUCAGGGCUCGAAAGACGGAGAGAAGGGGAGGCUGCUUCUGCUGGAUCUUCCACCUGUUUCAUCAGGGCUAAGACAAGUUAUCCCAAACCAUUCAUUUAGUUGGAUUGCGUUGUAUUUUUGGUUUAUUGCCUAUGCAGUAAAAGUCUUUCAUGCUUAUUCCUUCGCUCAAACCCUUAGUGCUGCACUGGCGUCUCUUUUUUUUUAUCACCUGGAGAAGUAUUAGUCAAUUCGACGUAAAAUUCAUAUUGUACGUCGUCAACUUAAAAUACACAGUCUAUAUCUGGAUCGCUCUUGCUGGUUUCAUAUUUGGAUCCCUAUGUGGCAUUCUGGCUUCAAAUCAAUUCUGUAAUAUUGACUGCUUAAAAGGGUUAUUGUAAAGAUAGGCGAUUUAAAAUGCUGUAGUGAAUUAAAGUACAUCCAGU